CUCUGUCGGUUGCGACGACGAGGGUCCCAGCCGAUACAAUCAAUAGAACGGCUUGCUCGUGAAAUUAACGUGCAAGUGGCUGAGCACUCCGCAGACACGUGUACCCUUAACGUGAUUCUCAGGGAUGUUCAGCGUGACAUAAAGUGUGACAAGGUCGACCCUUUGAAAUACAGGCAAAAGAGAGAGAGAGAAGAGAGAGAGAGAGAAAG